UACGUAGGCAGCAAGCGUUGUUCGGAUUCACUGGGCGUAAAGGGUGCGUAGGUGGCGAGGUAAGUCGGAUGUGAAAGCUCGGAGCUCAACUCCGAAAUGGCAUUGGAGACUACCUUGCUCGAGGGUUGGAGGGGGGACUGGAAUGCUUGGUGUAGCAGUGAAAUGCGUAGAUAUCAAGCGGAACACCAGUGGCGAAGGCGAGUCCCUGGACAACUCCUGACACUGAGGCACGAAAGCUAGGGGAGCAAACAGG
rnacentral:rRNA from 1 species